rnacentral:rRNA from 1 species
UACGAAGGGGGCUAGCGUUGCUCGGAAUCACUGGGCGUAAAGCGUGCGUAGGCGGUGUCUUAAGUUUGUUGUGAAAUCUCCCGGCUUAACCGGGAGGGUGCGGCGAAUACUGAGAUGCUGGAGUGCGGGAGAGGUAAGCGGAAUUCCUGGUGUAGCGGUGAAAUGCGUAGAUAUCGAGGAGGAACACCGUGCGGUGUGAG